AUUGAACGCUGGCGGCAGGCCUAACACAUGCAAGUCGAGCGGAUGAAGGGAGCUUGCUCCUGGAUUCAGCGGCGGACGGGUGAGUAAUGCCUAGGAAUCUGCCUGGUAGUGGGGGAUAACGUCCGGAAACGGGCGCUAAUACCGCAUACGUCCUGAGGGAGAAAGUGGGGGAUCUUCGGACCUCACGCUAUCAGAUGAGCCUAGGUCGGAUUAGCUAGUUGGUGGGGUAAAGGCCUACCAAGGCGACGAUCCGUAACUGGUCUGAGAGGAUGAUCAGUCACACUGAAACUGAGACACGGUCCAGACUCCUACAGGAGGCAGCAGUGGGGAAUAUUGGACAAUGGGCGAAAGCCUGAUCCAGCCAUGCCGCGUGUGUGAAGAAGGUCUUCGGAUUGUAAAGCACUUUAAGUUGGGAGGAAGGGCAGUAAGUUAAUACCUUGCUGUUUUGACGUUACCAACAGAAUAAGCACCGGCUAACUUCGUG
rnacentral:rRNA from 1 species